CAGUGACCAUCAUAUUUUACACCAAUAUGUCAGACAUCUUAAAACCUAUCUUCUUCAACACUUUUAUCCAAACAAAUAAAACUAUGAUGUCAGCGGUGGUAUCGGUCUCGCUUUCACAAAUCGCCAGUAAACACCUCACUAGGCCAGUCAACAUCACCCUGAAACACAUCGCUGCAUUAGAACCUGAAUUCAGUCUCUCGUGUGUGUACUGGAAGGACAAAGAAUGGGUUGAAAAUGGCUGUGACAUCAUACAGACUAACAGCAGUCACACUGUGUGCUCAUGUAAUCAACUGGCUACGUUUGCUCUCAUCAUGGAGACCGACCCAUGCAGAGUUAAUUUGACAGAACUUUGCAUAACGAAUUUCCUGAAUCAAGUUCAGGACAACACAGCUCAAGAAUUAACACAGGAGGUGAGUCGGACUUUGCUGUUAGAUCCGAACUGUCACUGUUUUUUUUUUUUUAAUGUAAGCAUAACAUGUCUCUGGCUGUCAG